rnacentral:rRNA from 1 species
ACUCCUACGGGAGGCAGCAGUGGGGAAUAUUGCACAAUGGGCGCAAGCCUGAUGCAGCCAUGCCGCGUGUGUGAAGAAGGCCUUCGGGUUGUAAAGCACUUUCAGCGAGGAGGAAGGUGGUGAGCUUAAUAUGCUCAUCAAUUGACGUUACUCGCAGAAGAAGCACCGGCUAACUCCGUGCCAGCAGCCGCGGUAAUACA